AGUGAACGCUGGCGGCGUGCUUAACACAUGCAAGUCGAACGAGAACGGAUUAUAGCUUGCUAUAAUUGUCAGCUAAGUGGCGCACGGGUGAGUAAUGUAUAGAUAACCUGCCCUUAAGAAAGGAAUAACAGUUGGAAACGACUGCUAAUUCCCUAUAUGCCUUUAAUACAUAAGUAUGCAAGGGAAACGCUUUAGUGCUUAAGGAUGGGUCUGUAUGGUAUCAGCUUGUUGGUGAGGUAAUGGCUCACCAAGGCUAUGACGCCUAACUGGUUUGAGAGGAUGAUCAGUCACACUGGAACUGAGACACGGUCCAGACUCCUACGGGAGGCAGCAGUGGGGAAUAUUGCACAAUGGACGAAAGUCUGAUGCAGCAACGCCGCGUGGAGGAUGACACAUUUCGGUGCGUAAACUCCUUUUAUAUAGGAAGAUAAUGACGGUACUAUAUGAAUAAGCACCGGCUAACUCCGUGCCAGCAGCCGCGGUAAUACGGAGGGUGCAAGCGUUACUCGGAAUCACUGGGCGUAAAGAGCGUGUAGGCGGGUAUAUAAGUCAGAAGUGAAAUCCAAUAGCUCAACUAUUGAACUGCUUUUGAAACUGUAUACCUAGAAUGUGGGAGAGGUAGAUGGAAUUUCUGGUGUAGGGGUAAAAUCCGUAGAGAUCAGAAGGAAUACCGAUUGCGAAGGCGAUCUACUGGAACAUUAUUGACGCUGAGACGCGAAAGCGUGGGGAGCAAACA
rnacentral:rRNA from 1 species